GGUACUAGAGAAGGAGGGGAGAGGAGGACGUCUCCUCCAGGAGGUGCUCUUGUCUAGCAGUUCUCGUGCCCAGCUUGCUGCUUCUGCUCUCAAGGAAGCUGUCGGGAGAUGAGACAGGUGGGAACCCAGCUUCGUGACACAGCGACAGAAGAGACCCUGUGGAUCUCAACUGCAGUGCUUAUCAAAAUGGACACUAGCUCAUGCACAUCUAUCCGUGGCAUCAUGACUGCACUCUGGACAGGCUGGCCUUUCCAAGCUUCGAUGAACUUUCCACUCUGGAAGGAGGAACGUCCCCGUCUCUGCUGAGACCUGA